rnacentral:rRNA from 1 species
UACGAAGGGGGCUAGCGUUGUUCGGAAUUACUGGGCGUAAAGCGUGCGCAGGCGGUUAUGCAAGACAGAGGUGAAAUCCCCGGGCUCAACCUGGGAACUGCCUUUGUGACUGCAUAGCUAGAGUACGGUAGAGGGGGAUGGAAUUCCGCGUGUAGCAGUGAAAUGCGUAGAUAUGCGGAGGAACACCGAUGGCGAAGGCAAUCCCCUGGACCUGUACUGACGCUCAUGCACGAAAGCGUGGGGAGCAAACAGG